rnacentral:tRNA from 1 species
GCCUCCGUAGCUCAGCUGGACAGAGCAACGGCCUUCUAAUCCGUUGGUCGCAGGUUCGAAUCCUGCCGGGGGCG